AAGGCCUCUGGGCUGUAAACCUCUUUUAUCAAGGAAGAAGAUCUGACGGUACUUGAUGAAUAAGCCACGGCUAAUUCCGUGCCAGCAGCCGCGGUAAUACGGGAGUGGCAAGCGUUAUCCGGAAUUAUUGGGCGUAAAGCGUCCGCAGGCGGCCCUUCAAGUCUGCUGUUAAAAAGUGGAGCUUAACUCCAUCAUGGCAGUGGAAACUGUUGGGCUUGAGUGUGGUAGGGGCAGAGGGAAUUCCCGGUGUAGCGGUGAAAUGCGUAGAUAUCGGGAAGAACACCAGUGGCGAAGGCGCUCUGCUGGGCCAUCACUGACGCUCAUGGACGAAAGCCAGGGGAGCGAAAGGGAUUAGAUACCCCUGUAGUCCUGGCCGUAAACGAUGAACACUAGGUGUCGGGGGAAUCGACCCCCUCGGUGUCGUAGCCAACGCGUUAAGUGUUCCGCCUGGGGAGUACGCACGCAAGUGUGAAACUCAAAGGAAUUGACGGGGGCCCGCACAAGCGGUGGAGUAUGUGGUUUAAUUCGAUGCAACGCGAAGAACCUUACCAGGGUUUGACAUCCUGCGAAUCUCUUGGAAACGAGAGAGUGCCUUCGGGACCGCAGUGACAGGUGGUGCAUGGCUGUCGUCAGCUCGUGUCGUGAGAUGUUGGGUUAAGUCCCGCAACGAGCGCAACCCACGUCUUUAGUUGCCAGCAUUUAGUUGGGCACUCUAGAGAGACCGCCGGUGAUAAACCGGAGGAAGGUGUGGAUGACGUCAAGUCAUCAUGCCCCUUACAUCCUGGGCUACACACGUACUACAAUGCUACGGACAAAGGGCAGCAAGUUCGCGAGGACAAGCAAAUCCCAUAAAGCCGUGGCUCAGUUCAGAUGGUAGGCUGCAACUCGCCUACGUGAAGGAGGAAUCGCUAGUAAUCGCAGGUAAGCAUACUGCGGUGAAUACGUUCCCGGGC
rnacentral:rRNA from 1 species